rfam:Rattus norvegicus chromosome 1, whole genome shotgun sequence.
GGGGAUUUGGCUCAGUGGUAGAGCGCUUGCCUAGCAAGCGCAAGGCUCUGGGUUCGGUCCCCAGCUCCG